rnacentral:rRNA from 1 species
GAUGAACGCUGGCGGCGUGCCUAAUACAUGCAAGUCGAGCGAACAGACGAGGAGCUUGCUCCUCUGACGUUAGCGGCGCACGGGUGAGUAACACGUGUAUCACCUCCCUAUAAGACUGGGAUAACUUCGGGACACCGGAGCUAACACCGUAUAAUAUAUUGAACCGCAUUGUUCAAUAGUGAAAGACGGUUUUGCUGUCACUUAUCGAUGGAUCCGCGCCGCAUUAGCUAGUUGGUAAGGUAACGGCUUACCAAGGCAGCGAUGCGUAGCCGACCUGAGAGAGGGAUAGGCCACACUGGAACGGAGCCACGGUCAAGACUCCUACGGGAGGCAGCAGUAGGGAACCGUCCGCAAUGGGGGAAAGCAUGACGGAGCAACGCCACGUGAGUGAUGAAGGUCUUCGGAUCGUAAAACUCUGUUAUUAGGGAAGAACAAAUGUGUAAGUAACUAUGCACGUCUUGACGGUACCUAAUCAGAAAGCCACGGCUAACUACGUG